GAUGAACGCUAGCUACAGGCUUAACACAUGCAAGUCGAGGGGCAGCACUAGGUAGCAAUACUGAGGUGGCGACCGGCGCACGGGUGCGUAACGCGUAUCCAACCUUCCCGUUACUCUUGGAUAGCCUUCCGAAAGGGAGAUUAAUACAAGAUGGUAUUCAAAUUCCGCAUGUUAUUUGAAUUAAAGAUUUAUCGGUAACGGAUGGGGAUGCGUGACAUUAGAUAGUAGGCGGGGUAACGGCCCACCUAGUCUACGAUGUCUAGGGGUUCUGAGAGGAAGGUCCCCCACACUGGAACUGAGACACGGUCCAGACUCCUACGGGAGGCAGCGGUGGGGAAUAUGGGUGAAUGGUCGGAAGACUGAACCAGCCAAGUAGCGUGAAGGAGGAAGGUUCUAUGGAUUGUAAACUUCUUUUAUACGGGAAUAAAACACCUUACGUGUAGGGUCUUGUAUGUACCGUAUGAAUAAGCAUCGGCUAACUCCGUGCCAGCAGCCGCCGCAGUAA
rnacentral:rRNA from 1 species